rnacentral:rRNA from 1 species
UACGUAGGGUGCGAGCGUUAUCCGGAAUUAUUGGGCGUAAAGCGUCCGCAGGUGGCUGUUCAAGUCUGCUGUCAAAGCGCAGAGCUUAACUCUGUACAGGCGGUGGAAACUGAAGAGCUAGAGUAUGGUAGGGGUAGAGGGAAUUCCCGGUGUAGCGGUGAAAUGCGCAGAUAUCGGGAAGAACACCAGUGGCGAAGGCGGGUCUCUGGGCCGUAACUGACGCUGAGGAGCGAAAGCGUGGGGAGCGAACAGG